rnacentral:rRNA from 1 species
CCUACGGGAGGCAGCAGUGGGGAAUAUUGGACAAUGGGGGCAACCCUGAUCCAGCCAUGCCGCGUGUGUGAAGAAGGCCCUCGGGUUGUAAAGCACUUUCAGUGAGGAAGAACGCCUGGUAGUUAAUACCCAUCAGGAAAGACAUCACUCACAGAAGAAGCACCGGCUAACUCCGUGCCAGCAGCCGCGGUAAUACGGAGGGUGCGAGCGUUAAUCGGAAUUACUGGGCGUAAAGCGCGCGUAGGUGGCUUGAUAAGCCGGUUGUGAAAGCCCCGGGCUCAACCUGGGAACGGCAUCCGGAACUGUCAAGCUAGAGUGCAGGAGAGGAAGGUAGAAUUCCCGGUGUAGCGGUGAAAUGCGUAGAGAUCGGGAGGAAUACCAGUGGCGAAGGCGGCCUUCUGGACUGACACUGACACUGAGGUGCGAAAGCGUGGGUAGCAAACAGGAUUAGAUACCCGGGUAGUC